UCCUACGGGAGGCAGCAGUGGGGAAUAUUGCACAAUGGGCGAAAGCCUGAUGCAGCAACGCCGCGUGAGGGAUGACGGCCUUCGGGUUGUAAACCUCUUUUAGUAAGGAAGAAGCCGCAAGGUGACGGUACUUGCAGAAAAAGCACCGGCUAACUACGUGCCAGCAGCCGCGGUAAUACGUAGGGUGCAAGCGUUGUCCGGAAUUAUUGGGCGUAAAGAGCUCGUAGGCGGUUUGUCGCGUCUGCUGUGAAAUCCUGAGGCUCAACCUCGGGCUUGCAGUGGGUACGGGCAGACUAGAGUGCGGUAGGGGAGAUUGGAAUUCCUGGUGUAGCGGUGGAAUGCGCAGAUAUCAGGAGGAACACCGAUGGCGAAGGCAGAUCUCUGGGCCGUAACUGACGCUGAGGAGCGAAAGCAUGGGGAGCGAACAGGAUUAGAUACCCUGGUAGUCCAUGCCGUAAACGUUGGGAACUAGAUGUAGGGGCCAUUCCACGGUUUCUGUGUCGCAGCUAACGCAUUAAGUUCCCCGCCUGGGGAGUACGGCCGCAAGGCUAAAACUCAAAUGAAUUGACGGA
rnacentral:rRNA from 1 species